GUAUGUUUAUUCCAAAUUCCAAACAUAACCUUAUAUUAUAAACAGUCGUUUAUUUAGAGUUAUUUAUUAUUGUUUUCUCAUAUUUUGCAAUUGUUAAGUUGGUUUACUUCGAAUUUAAUAUGCAUUACUGUGGUAUUUCUCCAGUUUUCUAAGAAGUUUGGUGAUUUUGAAUUGGGAUUAUGAUGAAUUUAACCCAAAGGCAAUGUGUGUUUAUUUAUGUGGCAAAAUUCCAGGCACCAUAAAAAUUUGAGUUUCUUCCUGUUGCCCAUGGAUGAAAUCGGUUUGCAGAAUGAAAAGAAAUUGUUCAGUGUGAUAUACUUUCUAUGAACAGUCCUCAAUAUUGUUACAUUAACUUUUAAAUAUGCACUUUACAUCUUGAGGAGCAGGCCUUUGCAGAAAUACUGAAAAGCGGGUUGCAAAACAACGCAAAAUAAAACAAAGGAAAUAUGUCUUGAGAUUAAACAUUCAAGUUGAAGGUGUGUUCUUUCUUAAACUGAAAUGAUAAUUUUGUAAUUCUGUAGGCACAUCUAUUGAGAAGUUACAACCAGUGGCAAAGUGCCUUAAGGGAAUCUAUGACAUAUAAUUGAAGCUAUCAGCAUUGGCUCUACAGCCCAUGGUGGGUCUUGGCCUGUUCCAGAAUCAGCUUCCACUCUUUCCUAUCCUUUGCUUGGCUUUCCAAUUUCUCACUCGAGCAUGGAUUUUUGGUAUAUAUGGGAUUAUAUUGUGAUAACGACCAGAUCUAUGAAAGAAUAGUAUGUUGUUAAAGAAGAUUGUGGUGACACUAUUCAUGAAUAUCUGAUAAUAUUGGUUAAUGUGAAUGGAGUCCAAAAUGGGUUUAGGCUGUUAUAUAAAAAAACUAGGUCAUUAGCAUAUGGAAGUAGGGCGACAUUAUCUGGUAUUAAAUUAUGUGAAUGAGGAGAAUUAAACCUAAAAACUCUAUUUAUUCUGCUAAUCAAUAUGAUUUUAAUAUAUUUUAAUAUAAAACAUAUGUUAUUCUUUCUAGGGACAUCUCCUCUGAAGGAAGUACAAUUAUUUGCCAGUAUGUCAAAUGAAUUUUCAACAUCAGUCAUACUUUCAUGAAUUUAUUGAUGAAAAUAAAACUAGGUACAUGAUUUAUUAUUUACUUCCAAGGGAUUCUAAGAUACUAUUUGUAAAAAGUCCAAUAUGCAGUGAUGAGCAUGCUAAUAACUGGCAAAAUAUGGGAUAUAACGCCAAAGAUGGGAAACAUGGGAAGCAUUCUGAAAUAAAAAGAGAUGAAACUGAGAGAAAUUAUCCAUAUAAACAUAUAAAUCAACAUUACAUUACAUAGUUUCCCACCUUUAGACGUAUCAGAUGAGUAUGAGAACUGUCACUGUGACAGGAGAAUUUUAUAAAAUACUCCUGUCACAGAGAUCUAAAGGUGGGAAACUAUGUAAUGUUAUCAUCGGCUAAGAGUGUUAACCUGCUAACCCCAUUUUUCACUGUGAGUGAUAUUGGGGUAGUUUCUAGGUCUGUGUACCUUCAUACCAUGUCCCACAAGCCCGCUGGUUCCACUGUAGUUUAGAGAUAGCUAUUUCUAAACUACAUUGGUGUCGGCGGGUUUGUGGGGUGGUGUAUGAAAAUACACAGACCCAGAAAC
rnacentral:lncRNA from 1 species